rnacentral:tRNA from 15 species
UCUAAUAUGGCAGAAUAGUGCAAUGAAUUUAAGCUUCAUAUAUAAAGUUAAAACUUUUUUUAGAA